GACGAACCGUGCGAACGUUGUUCGGAAUCACUGGGCUUAAAGGGCGCGUAGGCGAGCUGUCAAGUCUGGGGUGAAAUGCCGCGGCUCAACCGUGGAACUGCCUCAGAUACUGACGGCCUCGAGGAAGGUAGGGGCAUGCGGAACAUUGGGUGGAGCGGUGAAAUGCGUUGAUAUCCAAUGGAACUCCGGUGGCGAAAGCGGCGUGCUGGACCUUUUCUGACGCUGAGGCGCGAAAGCUAGGGGAGCAAACGGG
rnacentral:rRNA from 1 species